UAAUAUCACUAACACGAAGGGGCUUUUCAUAGUAUAAAUCUCAACCAUUUCAUCACCCCACAACCCUAAUCCUUCCUAAAAAUUCCAGUAUCUAAACACACCCUCCUUCCCUCCCCUCCCCUUCUGCUAUUUUUUAUUUUAUUUUUUGGGUUUUGGGGAUAAAAAUGGAGAGAAAGUAUCGUGGUGUUUGCUAUCGUGCGCCUCUUGAUGAAGCCUUGGAUCCCAUUAAUCUGGAUCUUUAGGGUUUAUGUUCUUUAUAAAGAACGAGGAGGUAGAUUUUGUGCAGGAACGUUGAGUCGCUUCGCCUCUGAACAAUAACCAGGCUCAGUGAAUAACACCCUGCCAAAUCCCCUUUUCAUUUUUUAUUUUUUAUUUUCCAUCCGACUGUUUGUUUGUUUAUUUUUGCAUCUGAUAUUAUAUUAAAUUGAUUUGUUGAAGAAUUUGGAUUUGCGUAGUGGGGGC
rnacentral:lncRNA from 1 species